rnacentral:rRNA from 1 species
CCUACGGGUGGCUGCAGUGGGGAAUAUUGCACAAUGGGGGAAACCCUGAUCCAGCGACGCCGCGUGAGUGAAGAAGGACUUAGUUAUGUAAAGCUCCAUUAGCAGGGAAGAAAAUGACGGUACGUGUGUCUGAAGGUACGGCCAAUUACGUGACAGCAGCCGCGGUAAUAUGUAGGGAGCAAGGGUUAUCCGGAUUUACUGGGAGUAAAGGGAGCGUAGACGGUAUUGCAAGUCAGGAGUGAAAGGAGGGGGCUCAAACGCCGGAGUGCUCUGGAAACUGUAAGGCUUGAGUUCAGGAGAGGUAAGUGGAAUUCGUGGUGUAGCGGUGAAAUGCUUAGAUAUUAGGAGGAACACC